rnacentral:ncRNA from 1 species
CCUAUUGUUUCGUCAAUAGUAGCCUAAGGAUACGUGCAUUAUGAGUAAUUGUUUUGUACGAAGCUAUCCUGAGAAAGUAACCCUUCCGAAAGGAGGAGUCGGAACCGUGAGGGAAAGACAACGAGCGUAAGCAUUAUAUGCUCUGG